AAAAAAAAAGUGAAUGAACCAAAUGCAAAGUCAGUCUGUGAGUGCACAGUUGAGAUAGGCCUCAGUCUGGUCCAGGUCAGCUCCUGGCACUUAACUGCUUCUAAUGCUCAAGCAGUGAAGGGUCUCUGUUAUGUUUGGGGAUCAAUCUGGCAGAGGCUUUGGCUUUGGCAGCAGUUGCCUUUUUUAAGUGGUCAGACAUAGAAGGGUCAUGUCUGAAGAGUCUGACAGUUUGCUGCCAAAAUCCUUCCCUUUUUAAAGGGAUUGAAUCAGUUGCAGGUCCGGGCAGCCCUCCUCUGGUUCUGCACAUUAUCAGUUCUGGGGUUGUGAGGUGAUGUUGGUCUGGGCAGUAUCUCCUAGCUGGGGUAUCUUUAACUGCUUGCGUCAUUGCUUGACACAGGCCCUUGCUUGACAUGAGACUCCAUUUUGCUCUCUACAGUCUACAGAAAUAUCAGGAUAAGCCUGGGCAGAACUAGGAGAGAAGUGGGCAUCAACAGACACUGGACUUACAGCUGGAUGCAGAGGGGAGGAGCAGAGGGAGAGAGAAUCCUGAAGCAGACUCUCUGCUGUACAGGGAACCCAAUCUGGGUCUCAAUUCCAAGGCCCCGAGAUCAUGACCUGAGCCAAAAUCAAGUGUCAACCACUUAACCAACUGAGCCAUCCAGGUACCUCUAAAGUUUUUAAUUUUAGUACAGUGUUAUAUGCCAGUUGUUUCAUUUAUAGUUAGUGUUUUUUGUGUCCUAUUUAAGAAAUCUUUCUUUGCUUAUUGAAAGUCAUCAAGAUUUUCUCUUACGUUAGCUUCUAGAAACUUAAUUGUUUUAUCUUUUACAAUCUAAAAUUUGUAUGUAGAUAGAUUAUUAAUCUGGGGGCACCUGGGUAGGCUCAGUGGUUGAGCUUUUGCCUUUGGCUCAGGUCGUGAUCCUGGGGCCCUGGGAUCAAGUCCGCAUUGGGCCCCCUGAGGGGAGCCUGCUUCUCCCUCUACCUGUAUCUCUGCUUCUCUCUAUGUCUCUCAUGUAAAAUAAAUAAAAUCUAAAAAAAAAAAAGUCUUGGGGC
rnacentral:lncRNA from 1 species